rnacentral:rRNA from 1 species
UACGGGGGGGCAAGCGUUGUUCGGAAUUACUGGGCGUAAAGAGCUCGUAGGCGGUUUGUCACGUCUGCUGUGAAAACUGGAGGCUCAACCUCCAGCCUGCAGUGGGUACGGGCAGACUAGAGUGCGGUAGGGAGAUUGGAAUUCCUGGUGUAAGCGGUGGAAUGCGCAGAUAUCAGGAGGAACACCGAUGGCGAAGGCAGAUCUCUGGCCGUAACUGACGCUGAGGAGCGAAAGCGUGGGGAGCGAACAG